CACGUAGGGCGCGAGCGUUGUCCGGAAUUAUUGGGCGUGAAGAGCUCGUAGGCGGCCUGUUGCGUCCGCUGUGAAAGCCCGGGGCUUAACCCCGGGUCGGCAGUGGAUACGGGCAGGCUAGAGGUAGGUAGGGGAAAAUGGAAUUCCCGGUGUAGCGGUGAAAUGCGCAGAUAUUGGGAAGAACACCGGUGGCGAAGGCGGCUCACUGGCUCAUUUCUGACGCUCAGGCGCGACAGCGUGGGGAGCGAACAGG
rnacentral:rRNA from 1 species